CUGUCCUCUCCUGGCGCCGCACACGCGUACUGCCGGGGAGCCCCGUGCACUCCUGGGAACUGUAGUCUCGCCCUGCGGGGCUUCCCAGCAAACAGGCGAGCGGUGAACUACACCUCCCGGCAAGCAAGCAAACUCUUAAACAGCCUCGAUCCGCCAGUCCGGCUCGGCCGCGGAGCCUCCCUACUCCUUUCGAAACGCUCCUGGGUUACCUCUCCCAGUCUCCCCUGCCCUCUUCCUCGCCAGGGGCAGGCGAAUGUGACCCCAGCUUAUCUCAGCUGGAGAUUUUUCUUUGCUAACUAUCGCCUUCGGGAGUAGACUAUAAAGAAAUAAAGACCCAAAGAUGGCACAAGAACCCUGAAGCAUAGGCUGGAUGGGAAAACGGUAGAUGCCAGGUAUCUCUCAUCUUUGAUGGUUGCUAAUACG